AACGAACGCUGGCGGCAUGCCUAACACAUGCAAGUCGAACGAGACCUUCGGGUCUAGUGGCGCACGGGUGCGUAACGCGUGGGAACCUGCCUUUAGGUUCGGAAUAACUCAGAGAAAUUUGAGCUAAUACCGGAUGAUGUCUUCGGACCAAAGAUUUAUCGCCUUUAGAUGGGCCCGCGUUGGAUUAGCUAGUUGGUGGGGUAAAGGACUACCAAGGCGACGAUCCAUAGCUGGUCUGAGAGGAUGAUCAGCCACACUGGGACUGAGACACGGCCCAGACUCCUACGGGAGGCAGCAGUGGGGAAUAUUGGACAAUGGGCGAAAGCCUGAUCCAGCAAUGCCGCGUGAGUGAUGAAGGCCUUAGGGUUGUAAAGCUCUUUUACCCGAGAUGAUAAUGACAGUAUCGGGAGAAUAAGCUCCGGCUAACUCCGUG
rnacentral:rRNA from 1 species